rnacentral:lncRNA from 1 species
CGGGGGGAAGGAAGAGGAGGCGGGAUCCGGGCGCUGCGUUGGCUGCGGCCUGGCACCAAAGGGGCGGCCCCGGCGGAGAGCGGACCCAGUGGCCUCGGCGAUUAUGGACCCGGCCGAGGCGGUGCUGCAAGAGAAGGCACUCAAGUUUAUGUGCUCUAUGCCCAGGUCUCUGUGGCUGGGCUGCUCCAGCCUGGCGGACAGCAUGCCUUCGCUGCGAUGCCUGUAUAACCCAGGGACUGGCGCACUCACAGCUUUCCAGACAUACAACAGCUGUGCCAGACUCUGCUUAAACCAAGAAACAGUAUGUUUAGGAAGCACUGCUAUGAAGACUGAGAAUUGUGUGGCCAAAACAAAACUUGCCAAUGGCACUUCCAGUAUGAUUGUG